rnacentral:rRNA from 1 species
AUUGAACGCUGGCGGCAGGCCUAACACAUGCAAGUCGAACGAGUGGCGGACGGGUGAGUAAUGUCUGGGAAACUGCCUGAUGGAGGGGGAUAACUACUGGAAACGGUAGCUAAUACCGCAUACCAUCGGAUGUGCCCAGAUGGGAUUAGCUAGUAGGUGGGGUAAAGGCUCACCUAGGCGACGCUCCCUAGCUGGUCUGCGAGGAUGACCAGGCACGCUGGAACUGAGACACGGUCCAGACUCCUACGGGAGGCAGCAGUGGGGAAUAUUGCACAAUGGGCGCAAGCCUGAUGCAGCCAUGCCGCGUGUAUGAAGAAGGCCUUCGGGUUGUAAAGUACUUGCAGCGAGGAGGCGUUACUCGCAGAAGAAGCACCGGCUAACUCCGUGCCAGCAGCCGCGGUAAUAC